GGGAGUGACAAGCUUCGACAAAUUGAUGACUUGUCGAUGUGCAAGCCGAGUGGCAACCUCGUACCAAGUUGCAAAAGUAAUAAGUGCAAACUUAUCCAACAAAAUGCCGGCUUUCGCUUUCGCGUAACUGGCUUGUCCCGCCGCUUUAUGCCGCGGGGCCAUCGACCGGUCCUUGCUUGAAGGGCCGUCCAUCGGUGUUAUAACUCAAGCUCUGCCGUAGCGGCGUCGACCGCUGCGACGAAUGCAUUCGGCAAAGAGAAAUGCGUAUGGUGUCGGAUACAAGCGCGCUUCUCUCAACUCUAUCCGACUACGCUUGUAGUGCAUCGGGAAGAAUCAGUUUGGACGCGGAUGCAAUUUCCGCCACUUCCACAA
rnacentral:tmRNA from 1 species